UACGUAGGGUGCAAGCGUUGUCCGGAAUUAUUGGGCGUAAAGAGCUCGUAGGCGGUUUGUCGCGUCUGCUGUGAAAAUCCAGGGCUUAACCCUGGACCUGCAGUGGGUACGGGCAGACUGGAGUGCGGUAGGGGAGAUCGGAAUUCCUGGUGUAGCGGUGAAAUGCGCAGAUAUCAGGAGGAGCACCGGUGGCGAAGGCGGAUCUCUGGGCCGUAACUGACGCUGAGGAGCGAAAGCAUGGGGAGCGAACAGG
rnacentral:rRNA from 1 species